rnacentral:lncRNA from 1 species
UGGUGACCGACAACACGUUCGCAAGCGAGCCGCACGACGGUGGGCAAGGUGGGUCAGGGGGUGCCUCCUCCGGUGGUGGCCACUUGGGCGACAAGAACCUGCGAGGAAGUUCAGACGAGGAGGUAGCUGUCAAGAAGUGCCGACCUGUACCAGAGCUCGUGGGGGACUUCAUACUCUGCUGAUGCGAGGACGGCGUCGCGGACGAGGACGACACCGAGGAGUUGCGCCGGCAGCAAGCCCAGUGCCGUCGGAUUUUGUUCUAGAGGGGAAGAGACGGGUGCGCC